ACUGGACAGGGGAAAACAAACUGGACUAGGAGCUGGAAGUCUUGGUGGCUCACUGUGCGAUCUUAACAGAGUCACUCAACCUGCUUUGACUCGGUUUCCUCAUCUAUAAAAUGAGGGGGUUGUGUCUCUAUGGUUUCUCUCAGAGCAAACGCUAUGGUUCUUUGAAGGGCUUUCAUUUCUGCAGUGAGAACCCCUUCAUUCUGCAGGCGAGACGCACGCCUGCCGCCUGCUGCCUGCCUCCCUCGCCUGCCCUGUUCGCCGGCACUGCAAAGCUCUUCCUCAGCACCGUGAUCCCAGACUUCAACUGGACCCCCAGUUGUUCAUCUCAGAAGCCAGAUUUCCUUUUCUAAGCCACGACUCUGGGAAGGUCCUUCACAGCCAGUUCCUGUUGUUGCUGAGCCAAUCCCGUCCAUUCUGAGUCAUAAUAUGCACCUUUACACCAACGCAGGAUGACAGCUCCACGUGGAAAUGAAGCAGGCGUUGCAUGAGAGACCGUCUUUGCUGUUUGUGCAAGAUUUUCUAUGCUUCUUUGUUAAGUUUGUUUUUUAAUUACAGAAGGAACUGAUUCUCUUGUACAAAAUUUGAAAAACUAAGCCACAUAAUUGAGGAAACAGUCAAAUGAAGAUAAAGAUUUCACAUGGAAGUUUAUGCAAAGAUACCAUUGUUUUCCUAACCAUGGUCCAAAGCCAACUGCCAGGAUUAUGUGUGUACACGCAUAUUUCAUCCAAGCAAGAUGGAAAAGUCAUGAUUAGACACCACUGUGCACAGGUUAAAGUCUAAACUCCUGCCUGGCAUUCAAGACGUCUCGUGGCUUGGCCUCAGACUAUUGAACCAUGCUCACCUCUUGUCGCAGCACCUCAUGGGCCCCUGGUUUCAGCUCAAAUCCACAGUGCAUUGUUCUUCCAGCACAGGGACUUCACUGCGGCUCUGCCACAGCUGCUGCCUCGUUCUGGAAGACAUUCUCCUGUGCCACCGGGGAGCUUUCUCCUCAUCCUUCAAGGCCCGGCUGAAAUGCCAGUCCUUUCUGGGUGGAGGAUUCACUUCUUUCCAGAAAUACACAUCGCUCCAUCCCUGGCUGAGUUACCCAGACACCCGCGUUUGGCACCACGUUUCAUAAUGUGAGCAAUAUGAAUUAUCUCCAGCACAUGCGGAUAUAAGAAGUCUCCCUCCUCUGGCAACUCCCACCCAGUCUGUAGUGGGUCAGAGCUUCCCAGAGCUGGACAAAGUUUGCUUCUGCUGCAGAAACCCAGAGAAUCUGAACCUUAACACAAAUGCGUGCUUAUUGUUCUCAAAGGACCCUCUUGUUGUGGAGCUUACAGUCUUUUAGAGGAGAUAAGACAUGCAAACACAAAACUCCUAGAGUAAAACAGAAGAGAUUGUGUGUUAUUGAGCCUAGUGUGGAGAGUGAGAAGGAAAUGUUAUCUUUAUUUUUUGUUCCAUUUAGCAGCAAAAGCAAAUAAGAAGUGGAUAUCUUAAAUUGUCAUACUACCAUCAUUAUUUAUGUAUUCCCUCCACUGUUACGAUGGGAAUGCUUUAUUUUUCAUCUUUGGAACCCAAAUGCCUAUGUCGGGGCAUAUUAGUUAAUAUGCAAAGUAAUGUGCCCGGUGCUCUGAAGACUACAGGAGACACACCUGCCUUCUCAGCUGACCUCAGACCCACCCACGACACUUAGCCUGACGGUCACUGUGUGGGGUUGCCAUGGAGCAUUAAGGCCCCACAGAGGUCCCUGCAGUUCUGUGGCACCUGCAUUCCACACUCCUGUCCUCUGUGAUCAUUUUCAGCCUAAGGCCACUCCCCCUCUUUUCUGCCUGUUUCAGCUCCAACAUGCUUAGACAGAUCCCUCUCUGUUCCUGGAGGCUUCCAGCCACAGUAGGCUCUGUAAUACACAGACUCUUCUAUUUCACUCUAGUGGUUUUGUGUUUGCAUGUCUUAUCUAAAAGACAUCUAAGAUAUCCUCUAAAAGGCUCUAAGCUCCUGAAUAGGGGGUGUCCUCAUCUUCUUUCCAGAUCUUUGGAGUACUUAGUAGAUUGCUAGGUACACAGCUGACAAUUAAUAAUUCAUUCAUUGGUACAGACAUUAUUAUGUUUCAGUCAAUGAAACUGGGAUCCUCUAAUCUUGCUACUCAACAACCUGCUUUCUGAACCAGCAACAGCCUGGGCAUCUUCUGGGAGCUUGGCAGAAACUCAGAAUUGCAGGCCCUGCCCCAGGGCUACUGAAUCAGAAUCUGCAUUUUAACAAAUUCCCAGAUGAUUCAUGUGCAUAUUAAGCUUAAGAAGCACUGCACCAAGUGACAAUUUGUGAUCUUUCUUCCUCCCUUGGUCCACCGUGUUGGCUUCCCCGUUCCUGGCUCUCACCACAGUUCCCUCUCUCCCCGCCGUUUGCAUAUCACUUUAACCAAUCCUCAAUCCUCUCCCUCCUCUGGUCUCUCUAUGUCUGACUACGAAAUGCCAACAACUCCCCUUUUCGACUCUUCUCUUGUCAUUCGUUGGGCCCCCAGCACCUGCUAUGUCACUGUUCGGUCACGGGGCCUCCUGUUCUGUUGAAUCAAGACACUUUGCUCGUCAUGCUCAACAGAAGAUUGAACGCAAUCUUCUGCUGAGGGGUACAGCUCUUUUGCCUUUUUUAUUUGUCAGCUCAUUCUUAACUGAACAGAAGUCAGGAAUUCAUUGGCCAACAAAAAAUGUGGAGAGGCCGCGAAUCUGCUCUUCGUUUACAGGUUUACCAGCCAAAAAAGAACUUGAGAACUGCGGCAGUCUUUGUUAGUUAAUCCUAAACCUUUAACUCAAAGAAAGGUAUGCCUCUCUUGAAGACAAUCAAACAUAGAAAAUCAUACUUAGAAGAAGAAAUGCCAGGGUUUGCUUUAAACAAUAAUUCUUCCACUUACGAAAAAAAAAAGAGAGAGAAACUUCAAAGGGUCUUUAAACUGGUCAUCUUUAAAGUGACUUUAAAAUUACAUUUACGAGUAUUUACAUCUUGAUAAGAGCACCUUGAAAUUCAGUGAGACUUAUCCUCAGUUUGAGUUUCUGUAUUUUAUGGAGAGUGCAAGAAAAAGCAAGUUUGGAGCUUGAAUUACAGAGAAAACUGCCUCAAUUCCCCACCCCCUUUUUUGUUGCAGGAACUAAGCUGUUAAAUACCGCUGCUGAAGAUCAGAGUCCUUUUGGGCUCACAUUUCCUACCUAAGGGUUGAUUUACAGUGAUAAUUUUCUUUAGACAUUUUAAAAAGCAAUUGUUCAUAAAGGAAAAGAAAUAUACUGGACAGAGUCUUCCUGAAUGUUAGGGGCUGACAAUAAUUGGACCAUUUGAUUUCUCUCCAUUUUUCUAUGUUCUCCAAUUGCUUCCACAGUAACUUCCUCCCACCCAUCAAUCAGUCUAACAAUUCACAUCGAUAUUUUAUUGUUAAUGGCUGACUGCUCAUUUCAUUAAAAAUGUAAGUGCAUUAGCUCCAUGUGAAAUGGUUCCAUUGAGAAGAGUGUGUUUAAAUAUUCAUAACAUAAAAAUUAAUAAAUCUGAGCACAAGGUUUGCAUUUUAAAAA